GUGGGGAAUAUUGCGCAAUGGGGGAAACCCUGACGCAGCAACGCCGCGUGAGCGAAGAAGGCCUUCGGGUCGUAAAGCUCUGUCUUCUCUGACGAUAAUGACGGUAAGAGAGGAGGAAGCCACGGCUAACUACGUGCCAGCAGCCGCGGUAAUACGUAGGUGGCGAGCGUUGUCCGGAAUUACUGGGCGUAAAGGGUGCGUAGGCGGGAUAUUAAGUCAGAUGUGAAAACCCAGGGCUCAACUGUGGGACUGCAUUUGAAACUGAUAUUCUAGAGUGCAGGAGAGGGAAGCGGAAUUCCUAGUGUAGCGGUGAAAUGCGUAGAUAUUAGGAAGAACACCAGUGGCGAAGGCGGCUUCCUGGACUGUAACUGACGCUGAGGCACGAAAGCGUGGGGAGCAAACAGGAUUAGAAACCCUAGUAGUCC
rnacentral:rRNA from 1 species